GAUGAAGAACGUAGCGAAAUGCGAUAAGUAAUGCGAAUUGCAGAAUCCGUGAGUCAUCGAAUCUUUGAACGCACAUUGCGCCCUCUGGUAUUCCGGAGGGCAUGCCUGUUCGAGCGUCAUUAUCACCCCUCAAGCCCGGCUUGUUGUUGGAUGCAGCGCUUAUCCCGCUCCUCCCAAAGAUAAUGACGGCGUCUGCGACGACUCCUGUACACUGAGCUUUCGGGCACGUACACGGCUAGAAGUCCAGACCCGGUCGCCGUCCCCCCCGCGGGGACACCCAUUACCACAAGGUUGACCUCGGAUCAGGUAGGAACACCCGCUGAACUUAAGCAUAUCAAUAAGCGGAGGA
rnacentral:misc_RNA from 1 species